AGCGAACGCUGGCGGCGUGCUUAACACAUGCAAGUCGAGGGAGAACGGCGGGCUUCGGCCUUCCUAGUAAACCGGCGCACGGGUGAGUAACACGUAGGUAACCUACCUUCGAGACCGGGAUAACCCAUCGAAAGAUGAGCUAAUACCGGAUAUGACCACGGGAGUUUCGGCUCCUGCGGUGAAAGAUGGCCUCUGCUUGCAAGCUAUCACUCGAGGAUGGGCCUGCGCGCCAUUAGCUAGUUGGUGAGGUAACGGCUCACCAAGGCUACGAUGGCUAGUUGGUCUGAGAGGAUGACCAGCCACACUGGGACUGAGACACGGCCCAGACUCCUACGGGAGGCAGCAGUGGGGAAUAUUGCGCAA
rnacentral:rRNA from 1 species